GCGUCGGUAGUGCAAUGGUUCAGCACGCGCUCCCAGAAAGAGUGAAAUCUAGGUUCCAAUCCGGCUGGCGCA